UUUGCAAAUAGUUCUCUGCCUUACAAGCAGAGGGUCACAGGUUCGAGCCCUGUAACUUCCACCA
rnacentral:tRNA from 1 species